rnacentral:rRNA from 1 species
GGAUGAACGCUAGCUACAGGCUUAACACAUGCAAGUCGAGGGGCAGCAUUUCAGUUUGCUUGCAAACUGGAGAUGGCGACCGGCGCACGGGUGAGUAACACGUAUCCAACCUGCCGAUAACUCGGGGAUAGCCUUUCGAAAGAAAGAUUAAUACCCGAUGGCAUAAUUAGACCGCAUGGUCUUAUUAUUAAAGAAUUUCGGUUAUCGAUGGGGAUGCGUUCCAUUAGGCAGUUGGUGAGGUAACGGCUCACCAAACCUUCGAUGGAUAGGGGUUCUGAGAGGAAGGUUCCCCACAUUGGAACUGAGACACGGUCCAAACUCCUACGGGAGGCAGCAGUGAGGAAUAUUGGUCAAUGGGCGCAGGCCUGAACCAGCCAAGUAGCGUGAAGGAUGACUGCCCUAUGGGUUGUAAACUUCUUUUAUAUGGGAAUAAAGUUUUCCACGUGUGGAAUUUUGUAUGUACCAUAUGAAUAAGGAUCGGCUAACUCCGUGCCAGCAGCCGCGGUAAUACGGAGGAUCCGAGCGUUAUCCGGAUUUAUUGGGUUUAAAGGGAGCGUAGGUGGACAGUUAAGUCAGUUGUGAAAGUUUGCGGCUCAACCGUAAAAUUGCAGUUGAUACUGGCUGUCUUGAGUACAGUAGAGGUGGGCGGAAUUCGUGGUGUAGCGGUGAAAUGCUUAGAUAUCACGAAGAACUCCGAUUGCGAAGGCAGCUCACUGGACUGCAACUGACACUGAUGCUCGAAAGUGUGGGUAUCAAACAGGAUUAGAUACCCUGGUAGUCCACACAGUAAACGAUGAAUACUCGCUGUUUGCGAUAUACAGUAAGCGGCCAAGCGAAAGCAUUAAGUAUUCCACCUGGGGAGUACGCCGGCAACGGUGAAACUCAAAGGAAUUGACGGGGGCCCGCACAAGCGGAGGAACAUGUGGUUUAAUUCGAUGAUACGCGAGGAACCUUACCCGGGCUUAAAUUGCAUUUGAAUAUAUUGGAAACAGUAUAGCCGUAAGGCAAAUGUGAAGGUGCUGCAUGGUUGUCGUCAGCUCGUGCCGUGAGGUGUCGGCUUAAGUGCCAUAACGAGCGCAACCCUUAUCUUUAGUUACUAACAGGUCAUGCUGAGGACUCUAGAGAGACUGCCGUCGUAAGAUGUGAGGAAGGUGGGGAUGACGUCAAAUCAGCACGGCCCUUACGUCCGGGGCUACACACGUGUUACAAUGGGGGGUACAGAAGGCAGCUACCUGGUGACAGGAUGCUAAUCCCAAAAGCCUCUCUCAGUUCGGAUCGAAGUCUGCAACCCGACUUCGUGAAGCUGGAUUCGCUAGUAAUCGCGCAUCAGCCAUGGCGCGGUGAAUACGUUCCCGGGCCUUGUACACACCGCCAGUCAAGCCAUGAAAGCCGGGGGUACCUGAAGUACGUAACCGCAAGGAGCGUCCUAGGGUA